AUUGUCAGCUCCAAAAUAAGACUCAUUUUCUAGCAUAUUGAAAUAAUUAGAAGUACCUUUUCUGCUUUUUUUGAAAAGAGAAGACAAUGAACAUAUGAAGCACAGCUAAGUCACUGCGAUGGCUCUCAGGAUCCCUGCUCCUUGUGGGGCACACCUCCUCCCAGACGAGUGAUCAAACAGGAAGGCCUAAAAGCAAUGGAGGUGGCCCACCAUGGACUAAAACCUCUGAAACCCAGGAGAAAUGAAGCCUUGGCCACUCCAGACCCUACCCAAAGCCUGGACCAGUGGGUGACCCUAUCUGCCAUCAUGGCAGCCCCAGUGAAGCCCUGAGUCAGUGUGGGACUGAAAAAAUAUCAGAAGAGAUCAGUAUCACACUGGUGAGCACUUCUA
ensembl:lncRNA